rnacentral:tRNA from 1 species
GCCUGGGUGGCUCAGUCGGUUAAGCGUCCGACUUCAGCUCAGGUCGCCGAUCUCACGGUCUGUGGGUUCGAGCCCCACAUUGGGCU